AGAGGCAGAGAGGAGGCAACGAAGGAGCAGCUCUCCUCCCUCCGAUGUCUCCAUCCCAGAGAAGUCCGAGAGGAAGAAGACCGAGAGAAGCCCACGGUCCCGCCUGGCCGCUGCAUCCCACGCGCUCCCUCAAGUUAUGACCAAGACCGUCCACCGCGAGGUCAAGAGGACAUGAUGAGCCAUGAAGAUGUUGGCUGAACCUCAGAAGACUCACCACAUAGGAUCCUUCGGGAGUUGACGCGGAGACCUGCGACACGAGGGGACUGAACCCUGCCGUUCAUCUUCCCCCGACACAAGAGGAUGUGUUUCAGAUAACCCAGUGGGCAGAAAAGCACACACCAACGUGAACCCUCGCUCCUCUCAAAGUAUCACCGGAUCAUGUGUUUUGUAUCAAAAAUCGUACUUGAAAGAAUUCUGCACAGCAACAGCAAUUCAUCGUGAUUUGUGAUUAACUAUAACAAUACAACAAUACAUCAUUACAUUCAAGUCAUUUACUUAAGUAAAAGUAAGGGUGCCAGGAAGAAGUAACAAAAGUAAAAUGACUAGUACUCAAUGUUGCACUUGGUUCAAAAGUAACCAAUGUUAUCUACUUUAUUUAGUAUGAUGUAAAUGAAUUCAUGAGAAAGCAUCGUAUUUUCUAAGGCGUCUAAUCUUAACACAGACAUUGAAUAAUUACUGCUGCCAAAUAGAUUCAUUUUACAUUUUUCAAAUGUAAUGUAGUGAAAGGAGAUGGUACUUAUUUGCAGUGUUAGUGUUUUUCUUUGUUUCCACCAAUGAUGCAAUGGUUUACACUAACUUGUCAUCAUUAUCUGUUUCCUCUUUCUUCCAGAAUUGUAUCUACGUAGAAUAUUAAUCACCUAACUGCAUCAAACUGUUCUUUUUAGGUCAAGUGCAUUGAAAUCCAACCUUUUCGCUGACAAAUGACUGUGAUUUAAUGUAAUCUGUUACCACUCUACUCACUCCUGGUACCAUGAGGUCUCAUUGAGGAGUUGCAAUCAUCUGCAGAUCCUCUCCACCACCACCAUCUCCACCUGCACCCUCAGUGCACCGCAGUUGCAUUAUUAAACUUGUAUAAGAUCAUUAGCAUACAAAGCAGGAAACCUACUGUGUCAUACAUAUUUAACUGGACGUGCCUGAAUUGUGCAUGCAUGCACAAUCACACUGUAACCCUUUUUCAUGCAGGUGAACUGUCUUUCUGCUGAAGGAGAGCUGCGAACACACACUAUGAAGUGGAUGUUACCAGAAGCACGCACAGUUUUAAAGGAUAGAUAUUUAUUCAUGCAACAUCUUGAGAAAGACGAGCUGGCAUUUGCCACAAACUUCACAUUAAAACAUGUGCAGCUGCUUGCGAGAGCUAGAAAAUGUGUUUAUUUGGAAACAGAGCAGAUGGAGUUUGGUUAGGUUCAUCAGAGCAGUUUGCUUGGAGCAUAUCAAAUAUAGUUUACACACAGAGGAAUUUCUGCAAUACAUAUUCAUCUGCUGCACUCAGAAGCACGUAAUCAAACAGAGAGAAAGACAAAGGACAUGGCCCCUAUAAAUACUUGUAUCCCACGUGGUCUACCCCUGACUUUUGAAUGACUAUGAAAUCAGCUCAAUUUCUGUCUCCUUCCUUUUCAUUCCCUUCCUCCUCCAAUCCUUUUUUUUCACCAACUAAUGUACCUUCUUGAUGAAAGCAGAAGUCCUCUGUUAAUAGAUCCGCCUCCCUCCUUAUCUUCCCCACCUCCUGUGAGAUUGCCGUCGUGUCUUAUGGCUUUUUAUUCCUACGUGAUGGUAGAUGGGUUCAUGUAGGAGUAGAAGCCACUAAACACGCGGUGAGAGCUCGACACGCUGGCCAGCACACACAGCGAGCUUCCUGUGGCUAUGACCGCUUCCUGUCGAUACGACAGCUGCCACAUUAUCAAGAAUAUGUCCAUUAUCAAGAAUAUGCAAAAGCAAAAAAAGGAGUCCGCGGUACAGUCGCCGCAGGGGGUGCAUACUUGUUUCACGUUAUCAUUUCAGACCAGAUUUGUACUGUGAAGUUUUUUUAAAUACUUGUUAAAAUUAAGCUAAUUGAACAAUUGGUUUUAAGACAAUAGAGCUGAAUGGUGCUUUUUGUGUGGGCUGACAAAUCAAUUUUUAGUUGUGAAUAGACCUAUUUUUUCACAAAGGCUUCCCACCUGAGUGAUGGCUGCACGUGCCCGGAAUUUAAAACUGAUUGCUGCAUUCCUCUGCCCCGAGGUUGCUGUAUAAAACUGGACCUGGAUAGCUCUCGAAAAAGAUAUCAGGAGGAGUGGAUAUCACAAUUAAAACGAAAACAACUUGCAGAGGUAGGUCAUCUAUGUGGUUUGUUAAUAUGCUGAAUGUGAAGGUACCAUCUGUCCUCAAAGAGUAUAGAAAGUGUGAGAAGAAUGUAUCACACAUCAAUCCUGUUGUCAAUAAAAAUGUCACCAAAUCCUAUAAGUUAUAUAUUUAGAAAUAUGUUGUUGCUCUCCUGUGAAAACCCCAAAUCUCCAAGAUGACAACUUUUAUGACCUUAGCUUUGUAAUGUUUAUAUUUCUUCAAGAAACGCGGUUUAAAGUGGUUUUAAUGUAGAUAUUAUUGUAUUAACUCAGUUUUUGGUUAGAAAUGUGUACAGUUGUGUUUAGGUUGGCCAUAUGAGCGCGAGUUCGGUACUUUUAGCUCUCUCACUCUUAGUCUCCACCUGGUCCAUAGACUGAUAUGUUGCUGCUAAAUGCUGCAACACAUCCAUCCCCUGCUUGCUGUGUAUGUCUACAGGUCUAAAUGCAAUUAGUGUUAAAUCUGUUUUAGAGCUUUUUUGUCUCACAUCUCCGUUUUUCUGGAUAGCAACUACAUCGUUGUUUUGUUAUUUUUUGUCAUUUCACAUAAAUGUGUUUUUAGUCAUCCAUUUCACAUUAGCUCUUUGUAAGGACUCUCUGCCUAAUUAGACCCACACUUUUCCUGCAAAGCUUUCAGCACCAACCUGAAAAAUGAAACUCAGCUCAGGGCAAAUCCCUGUUCAAUCAUAAAUUAGGUCCAGAACAAGUCAAAAAGUCCUAUAACGGUAUCAUCGGCACUAACUUUCUGCCUGAAAAGAACUUAGCACCAACCAAUUAAGACAGAUAUUGAAAUGAUCCUGCACGUGCUCUGUCUGGUUGGUGCUGUGGGGAUUGGGUUUAAAUGUCAACCUUCUGUUACUAUUCGCUGUAAAACAGCCUCCUGGUUUUCUCCUCAUGAGCAGAGUCUGAUUAAUUCCUAAAUGUGUAGUUGUUGUAAACCCAGAACUGAAUAAUUAAUCCCAGGAUAUUACAACAAAUUGACCAAUGCUUGCAAUUGUGUGACAUUAUCUAUGUGUCGAUAUUAGGGGCAUAAUUAUUCAAAAUGAAAUUGCAAUUGAUAUGGUCUACUAAGGCUCAAUGAUUUAUUCAGAGCUGUAAAUUGUUAUGAUCUAAAAUUCAGCGGGGUGGAAUGGAAAGUUUCCCUUGCUUGCGGUUUUGGUUGAAUUUAUUUUUCAGGUUCUCAUUUCAACAUAUUCUUUUAAAGAGACAUGAGGAAGUCUGAGAGAAUAGUAGAGCAGCAAGGACACGUGAGAAGAAGCUAAAAGGAUUCGAUUCGGGAACAGUGGGGGUCCAUGGGAAUCUAACGGCUCCCAAUCAAUGAUCAUCGUAUCUAUGAGACAGAGCCUGAAUUAUUUAAAACAGCUUAGCAUAUGAAGGGGAAGUUAUCUUUGAGCAGAUUGUGGCCAUCCGCUUUUUCACCCGAGGUUGUGUUCUCGUUUUGACUGUGCUGUAAACCUCAUAUUCUCAACGUGUUCGGCAAAAAAACUGGUUACCGUGCAGUUUUUUGAUUUAUGUAAUUGGGCCCUCACAUAAUGGAACUUGAUUGAGUUGUACAAGGUCGCAUAAUCCUCAAGUUUAGGUAAAAACAUAAAAAAAAUGUCAGAAAUGGAGAAAUGGGACUUUCAUCUGACAGCUGCAAUAAUGAAGCAUGUCUGUGUACAGUAUAUGUAAGAGUGCUGAGCUACUGUACCUACCUCCCUCGGGCUGCACUUUCUUCUGUAAUAAAUAAUGCUCUUUAGUGUUCUCUGCUUCAUUUGUUCCCUGUUGUAACGUCAAUAAAUUAUAAAUCAAGCCUGUUCAACCUGC